rnacentral:hammerhead_ribozyme from 1 species
ACAGCUGACGAGUCCCAAAUAGGACGAAACGCGCGUCCUGGAU